rnacentral:rRNA from 1 species
UACGUAGGGUGCGAGCGUUAAUCGGAAUUACUGGGCGUAAAGUGUGCGCAGGCGGCCGAGCAAGUCGAGUGUGAAAUCCCCGGGCUUAACUUGGGAAUUGCGCUCGAAACUACUUGGCUGGAGUGUGGCAGAGGAAGGUGGAAUUCCACGUGUAGCGGGUGAAAUGCGUAGAGAUGUGGGAGGAACACCGAUAGCGAAGGCAGCCCCCCUGGGGUCAA